rnacentral:SRP_RNA from 1 species
CCAGGUCCUCCGCGCGGUGGUACCUUGCCGAACUCCCCCAGGGUCGGAAGACAGCAAGGGUAGGCGAGCUCUUCCAGGUGCGCGGAGGGCCCCUUUC